rnacentral:lncRNA from 1 species
UAUAUAUAUAUAUAUAUAUCAGGCUCAUAAAAAAUAUGACAUCACUAGGUGAUGAUUUCUCCUGGACAUGAGCAUCAAAUUGACCUGAAGCCUGAGGCGCCCAGCCCAUGGACGAGUUCUUUUAAGACUCCACUAGUAGAAAAAGAGGGAAAAAUGAAGGAAGAAGUCAAAGGCAGGUGAAAGUAAAUCUCUUCCAGAGUGCAGGUAUUGGGUGGCUUCAUAACAUUGCAAAAUCUGGUGACACUGAUAAAUACUCAUUAGUAGAGGCAAAAUUGUCAAUCCCUCACUGAAUGACAUCAACACGCAUCUCCCUGUACUUGAUGUGUAUGCACUACACAAGUUUUACGAUAAUGGUUCCAGCAUUGGUAAUAAAUUAUGUUACACACCUUGUCCAUGCCAACUUUAAGAUAAGAACCCCAAUCCUCAUUAUGGUUGUUCUCCCUUAAGAUGCCUGCCUUUCUUCCUUGUGUUUUCAGUAUUCACAAGAUAUCUAACUCAAAGAUAACGCAAAAUUUGAGCAUGACAGAAGCACCUCACCAUACUACAUUGUUUUUUAAAAGGGGAACUUACACAAAUGUCUCAUAUAAGUUUCAACUUACCGACCUCUAGACAAUAUUCCAAAAAUCGAAACAAACAAGGAUUUUUUUUAAUGGGUAUAGUCGAAAUGCAUUAAAAACAUAUACAACAACAACAA